rnacentral:misc_RNA from 1 species
UGGUGUUUGGUUUGUUACGGGUGGUUGGAUGUCUGCUUGCGCAGCAACUUCUAUGCGUUCUUACCUCUUCAGUUGUGUUACAAGAUAAUUUUGUCUUGAACAUAAGUGGGUUCCUGUGUUGCAUACCUAAUUGAUGGCAUUGUGUUUUUUGAACAAAGGUCUCUUUCGUAAAGCGUUGCUUGCGGCGCCUACGAACCUUGAAGCGGUCUUUGUGGUACCAUCCAAUCGUUGCUGAUGCGUCGAUGGCAUGGCCCUAUGAAGUGUCGCUUGGUCUCUUGGAUAUGGAACCUGGUGUGGGCGCGUGGUCAUUCAUGAUCAUGUCUUUUGUCCUACAUGAGCGUUUUGCUUUUCUAGACGACUGUCUUUCUUGCAUUGACUUGUUGGUGCAGGCUAGGCUAUGUCGAAGAGGAAUGCUACCUGGU